AUUAGAUAGUUGGCGGGGUAAUGGCCCACCAAGUCGACGAUGGGUAGCUGGUCUGAGAGGACGAUCAGCCACACUGGAACUGAGACACGGUCCAGACUUCUACGGAAGGCAGCAGUGAGGAAUAUUGCUCAAUGAGCGAAAGCCUGAAGCAGCGACGCCGCGUGAGGGAUGAAAUCCGUUAGGAUGUAAACGGCUAACUACGUGCCAGCAGCCGCGGUAAUACGUAGGGUGCGAGCGUUGUCCGGAAUUACUGGGUGUAAAGGGUCCGUAGGCGGGGAAGUAAGUCGAUGGUGAAAUGCUGCAGCUCAACUGCAGAACUGCCGUUGAUACUGCUUCUCUUGAGUUCGAGAGAGGAUAAUGGAAUUCAUGGUGUAGCGGUGAGAUGCGUAGAUAUCAUGAAGAACACCGAUUGCGAAGGCAGUUAUCUGGCUCGACACUGACGCUCAGGGACGAAAGCGUGGGUAGCAAACAGGAUUAGAUACCCUGGUAGUCCACGCCCUAAACGAUGGAUGUUCGGUGUCGGUCCCGCUCGGGACUUUCAAGGAAGUUUCGAGCGGGACCGGUGCCUGAGCUAACGCGUUAAACAUCCCACCUGGGGAGUACGAUCGCAAG
rnacentral:rRNA from 1 species